GCAUAUCAAUAAGCGGAGGAAAAGAAACCAACAGGGAUUGCCCCAGUAACGGCGAGUGAAGCGGCAAUAGCUCAAAUUUGAAAUCUGGCUCUUUCAGGGUCCGAGUUGUAAUUUGCAGAGGGCGCUUUGGCGUCGGCAGCAGCCUAAGUUCCUUGGAACAGGUCAUCAUAGAGGGUGAGAAUCCCGUAUGUGGCUGCUUGUCUUCGCCGUGUAAAGCCCCUUCGAUGAGUCGAGUUGUUUGGGAAUGCAGCUCUAAAUGGGAGGUAAAUUUCUUCUAAAGCUAAAUAUUGGCCAGAGACCGAUAGCGCACAAGUAGAGUGAUCGAAAGAUGAAAAGCACUUUGGAAAGAGAGUCAAAAAGCACGUGAAAUUGUUGAAAGGGAAGCGCUUGCAGCCAGACGUGCCCGUAGUUGCUCAUCGGGGGUUCUCCCCCGUGUACUCUUCUAUGGGCAGGCCAGCAUCAGUCCGGGCGGUUGGAGAAAGACCUGUGUCAUGUAGCUGUUUUCGGGCAGUGUUAUAGGGCAGGUGGAAUGCAACCAGCCUGGACUGAGGUCCGCGCAUCUGCUAGGAUGCUGGCGUAAUGGCUGUAAGCGGCCCGUCUUGAAACACGGACC
rnacentral:rRNA from 1 species